UACGUAGGGGGCGAGCGUUGUCCGGAUUUACUGGGCGUAAAGCGCGCGCAGGUGGUCUUUCAAGUCAGUGGUGAAAGCCCGGAGCUCAACUCCGGAAAUGCCAUUGAAACUGUAAGACUUGAGGAUGAGAGAGGUGAGUGGAAUUCCCAGUGUAGAGGUGAAAUUCGUAGAUAUUGGGAAGAACACCGGUGGCGAAGGCGGCUCACUGGCUCAUAUCUGACGCUCAGGCGCGACAGCGUGGGGAUCAAACAGG
rnacentral:rRNA from 1 species